CUAUGCGCCUUGCCAGCCCCGCUCAGAAACUCAAAUGAAUUGACGGGGCCCGCACAAGCGGUGGAGCAUGUGGUUCAAUUCGACGCAACGCGAAGAACCUUACCUGGGCUAGACAACAGUGGACCGUCCUAGAGAUAGGAUUUUCCCUUCGGGGACCGCUGGUUCAGGUGCUGCAUGGCUGUCGUCAGCUCGUGCCGUGAGGUGUUGGGUUAAGUCCCGCAACGAGCGCAACCCUCGUACUUAGUUGCCACCAUUCAGUUGGGCACUCUAGGUAGACUGCCGGCGUUAAGCCGGAGGAAGGUGGGGACGACGUCAAGUCAUCAUGGCCCUUAUGCCCAGGGCCACACACGUGCUACAAUGGGCGGCACAAAGGGUCGCGAACCCGCGAGGGGGAGCCAAUCCCAAAAAGCCGUUCUCAGUUCGGAUUGGAGUCUGCAACUCGACUCCAUGAAGUUGGAAUCGCUAGUAAUCGCGGAUCAGCACGCCGCGGUGAAUACGUUCCCGGGCCUU
rnacentral:rRNA from 1 species